rnacentral:snoRNA from 2 species
UGGAUCAUUGAUGACCAUAAAAGAUGUAGGAGUCGUCUGAGACAUGCAUGAUGACCAUAAUAUUGCCAGUCUGAGAUCCAC